GCAGAGGUUGCACCUGACACAUUAGAACUCCGUUGUCACUGCUGUGGCUGUUAUUCCCCUCGGCAAGAGCCAAGGAGCAAACAGGACGUGAAGAUCCCGGUGUUACACAUCCAAUCGUUCACCUCCUUCCAAGACUAUGACAUUCCAGGAAACCUUCACUGCUAAGAGGAACUAAGAUCUAGAGUAUCUCCUCGAGGAAGUACAACUGACGCGCGUGGAUGAUUUGAAGAUAUUAGCCUAACAAGAUGGAAGCAGGUUUAAAAUUUUACAUAAGAAGUUACCUUUUUCAGUGGAUGCUGUGGGGCACCACCUCCUUGAGGACCAAGGCACUCCAGCUGCCAGGAAUUUGGCUGCUAACCUCACACAGCUGAGCCUUCCAUGAAAAUUGCUCUCUGCCAAAGAGAACUUCCUAGUCCAAGGUCAUGUCUACUCUCCAGAGAUGUGACUGGAGUGAUUUGCACCCGGAUGCCUAGACUCGCCAUCUGCUCAAAGACUGCUCAGAAAGCCCUCCCAUGCAUUCCCCUGCUGCAUACCAGCCCACUCUGCCUGCAGCUGCUGUCUGCAGGACUUCAUAUCUAUGCCACACUGUGUAAAAGCUGUGCUUCAAGAAAUCACAAAAACAUUUUCCUGCACCUACUACACAGCCUGAGUGCGGCAUAAGUUGACCUUGCUUGCUAAGAAAUGGGGCAAGAAAUGCUUUUUUGUGUGUGUCAUGUCUGUUUGUUUUUCAAUUAAGAGAGGAAAGCAUUAGGCAGAUGGAAUGUACAUGUGAGGAUGAGGAGACAGAAAACAAGUAGCCCUUUCCAUCAAGAUAGAGGGUUUUCUGGGGUUGCUGGCUAUUGAAUGUCACUCCUGAUUUCUCUUUCCAAGGCACUGUACCACCAGCCUACUGAGAUUGUGUGGGAGCUUUCAUGGGGGUUGUAUUUCACUGAUGAAAAUAAAUUUUUUGCAUAAUGUGAA
rnacentral:lncRNA from 1 species